UGAGGAGUCCCACAAUAGGACGAAACGGCCGUCCAGUAU
rnacentral:hammerhead_ribozyme from 1 species